GGGGAAGAUAACUAUGGCGGAAUCUGUGGAACUUCCGAGCCGUUUAGCGAUUCUUCCAUUCAGGAACAAAGUUUUGUUACCUGGUGCGAUCAUAAGAAUUCGUUGCACUUCUCCUAGCAGUGUAAAAUUGGUGGAACAGGAGUUAUGGCAGAGGGAAGAGAAGGGACUGAUUGGAAUAUUACCGGUUAGAGAUUCAGCUGAGAGUGCCACUUCGGGUACUGCAGUAUCUUCAGGCAUGGGUGGAGAGACAUCAGAUAGCCACAAGCUCGACUCAAAAAAUCAACAGGAAGUUAUACACUGGCAUGAUAGGGGAGUUGCAGCCCGUGCUUUACAUCUCUCAAGAGGAGUUGAGAAACCAAGUGGCAGAGUUACAUACAUAGUUGUACUAGAGGGGUUAUGCAGAUUCAACGUGCAGGAGCUUAGUACCAGAGGAACAUAUUAUACAGCGCGGAUCACUUCUCUUGAUAUGACCAAGGGUGAGAUGGAGUUAAUUGAGCAGGAUCAAGAAUUUGUGGCAUUGUCUCGUCAAUUUAAAGCCACUGCGAUGGAGCUCAUUUCCAUUCUUGAGCAGAAACAAAAGACUGGGGGGAGAACAAAGGUUCUUCUAGAGACAGUUCCUGUCCAUAAAUUGGCUGAUAUUUUUGUAGCUAGUUUUGAGAUUAGCUUUGAGGAACAAUUAUCCAUGCUGGACUCCGUUGAUGUUAAAGUAAGGCUUUCAAAAGCUACUGAGCUAGUUGAUAGGCACCUACAGUCAAUUCGGGUGGCAGAGAAGAUUACCCAAAAGGUUGAGGGGCAGUUAUCAAAGUCUCAGAAAGAGUUUCUGUUGCGACAGCAGAUGAAGGCCAUAAAAGAGGAACUCGGUGACAAUGAUGAUGAAGAAGAUGAUUUGGUUGCCUUAGAAAGGAAGAUGCAAGGAGCAGGAAUGCCUGCAAGUAUCUGGAAACAUGCUCUGAGGGAACUAAGGAGACUCAAAAAAAUGCAGCCUCAGCAACCUGGAUACAAUAGCUCCCGUGUUUAUCUGGAGCUACUUGCUGAUCUUCCGUGGGAGAAGGCCAGCCCAGAACUUGAAUUGGACCUAAAAGCUGCAAAAGAGCGUCUUGAUGCUGACCAUUACGGUUUAUUGAAGGUCAAGCAGCGGAUAAUCGAAUAUCUAGCUGUUCGGAAGCUCAAACCAGAUGCCAGAGGUCCUGUGUUGUGCUUUGUGGGUCCACCAGGUGUUGGGAAGACAUCUUUGGCUUCGUCUAUUGCUGCUGCUUUGGGCAGAAAGUUUAUACGCAUCUCCCUUGGUGGUGUCAAAGAUGAGGCUGAUAUCAGAGGGCAUAGGAGAACAUAUAUUGGAAGCAUGCCUGGGCGACUAGUUGAUGGGUUGAAGAGAGUAGGUGUUCACAAUCCAGUUAUGCUGCUGGAUGAGAUUGACAAAACUGGGUCUGAUGUGAGGGGAGAUCCUGCAUCAGCAUUACUGGAGGUUCUUGAUCCCGAACAGAACAAAACGUUCAAUGAUCACUAUUUGAAUGUGCCGUUUGACCUAUCAAAGGUUAUUUUUGUGGCAACUGCGAACAGGAUGCAGCCAAUUCCUCCCCCACUCCUGGACAGAAUGGAAGUCAUUGAGUUGCCAGGAUAUACACCAGAAGAAAAGCUUAAGAUAGCAAUUAGGCAUUUAAUUCCUCGAGUUCUUGAUCAGCAUGGUUUAAGUUCUGACUUCCUUCAGAUACCUGAGGAUAUGGUAAAACUUGUAAUCCAAAGGUACACAAGGGAAGCAGGUGUACGUAAUCUAGAAAGGAAUUUAGCUGCCUUAGCACGUGCAGCGGCUGUCAAAGUUGCAGAACAAGAACAUCUAGAGCCUUUCUCCAAAGAUGUGCAACGCCUUUCUUCACCACUGUUGGAUGACAAACUUGCCGAGACCGCCGAGGUUGAAAUGGAAGUUAUCCCUAUGGGUGUCAAUAAUCAUGAUAUCUCCAGUGCGUUUAGGGUUGCCUCACCUAUGGUGGUUGAUGAACCAAUGGUGGAAAAGGUGCUUGGUCCACCUAGGUAUGAUGACAGAGAAACAGCAGAACGAGUUGCUAAUCCUGGUGUAUCUGUUGGAUUGGUGUGGACGGCGUUUGGUGGCGAGGUUCAGUUUGUUGAAGCCACUGCAAUGGUGGGAAAAGGUGAUCUUCAUCUCACUGGCCAACUUGGGGAUGUUAUCAAAGAAUCUGCUCAGAUUGCAUUGACAUGGGUUCGUGCCAGAGCAACAGAACUGAAGCUAGCUAUUUCUGAAGAAACUAAUCUUUUAGAGGGACGAGAUAUUCACAUUCAUUUCCCCGCCGGAGCUGUACCUAAGGACGGACCGUCAGCUGGUGUAACCCUGGUUACAUCACUGGUUUCAUUGUUCAGUAAAAAAAGAGUAAGAGCAGACACAGCAAUGACCGGAGAGAUGACUCUCCGAGGUAUGGUCUUGCCUGUUGGUGGUGUCAAGGAUAAGGUUUUGGCUGCCCAUAGAUAUGGUAUUAAAAGAGUUAUACUGCCAGAGAGGAACUUGAAGGACCUGGUUGAAGUCCCAGCUACUGUGCUUUCAAGUCUUGAGAUAAUACUUGCUAAACGAGUGGAAGAUGUGCUAGACCAAGCAUUUGAAGGUGGUUGCCCAUGGAGACAGCAAUCAAAAUUAUGAAAACUUAACAGACUUCGCUUAGCUAACGGUGAGAAACUUUGCCAUCAAAAAACAGUCCGGGCAUGUAAAUCGGAUGCCAGAACUCAUCGUCAUACCUUAAAGGAAAUGUUAACACGAUUAACGCAUGACAGAUAUUAAAGAACACACUUAACAGAUGUCCCUGAAAAUGUUCUCCAUGUAUUAUUCUUGCCUCCUAUUCAGCUGUAUGUAUAUUUAUAAAUGAUUAUUCUCUCUUAUGAAUAUAGUAUUGUUACAAUUGUGCUCUGUAUAAGUUUUUAC
rnacentral:misc_RNA from 1 species